GGGUGAAAGUCAGUUGUCUUCUGGGUGCAGCUACAGCUAUUCCACCUGUCAUGCAGGUAGCCAUCCACAGUAAACCGUCAGCUUUUCUCCCUUACAUUUUUCUCUUUAUACUUGAGAAUUAUGUUUUCACUUGGGCCAUAAAGACAUUUGGGCUAAGUCACAGGAAAUAGGACGCUGAUAAAUGAGGACUGCAGUUUCUUCUCUUGAACCAUUGAAUACCCCCCGCAGGAAGUACACGGGAGAAAAUAGGAGGGAGAUUGUUUGCGGAGGGCUGCAGCUGAGCAGUAAGAACACUGACCAUAAGAUCUGCCCUCUUAACACAUUUUUAAGAGCGUGAUACAGGAUUGUUAACAAUAAGGAACAUGGUUGUUUGUUUUUCUCUUAAUUGCUUUUUUAUUACGAAGCUAAAUGAUUUUUAAGAGCGAAAUUUGAAUAUAAAGAAAAUAAUAGGGCUUUUGACUUUUCUACUACAAGAAGGUGGCUUCCUCAAGGCAUAUGAUUGCAAUCCAAGCGAUGCUAUUUCCAGAUGGUAAACAACCCUCUUUUUUACAAUCAUGUUGCCUACAAGUCUAGGCAGACAACCCUUGGUACUUACAUACACCAGGUACUAGAGAAAAGCUGGAAAAUGCAGCCAGUGGUCUCAAGGCUUUCAAAAAUGAGACCUUAAUAAAG
rnacentral:lncRNA from 10 species